AAGGCAAUUAGCCAUGUCUUCUUCCUCUUGGGUGCUAUCUUGGAAUUCUUGAGAAGUGGUUGGUGACACGUUUGCACAAAUCUUUCCAUUAACACAAACAUCUCCAUCUCCAUCUCCAUCACCAUCAACACCACCACCAUCUCCGCUCAAGGAAUUAGAGGUUAGAUUAGCAAAAGGGAUUGGCGAUUGAACCCUUUGUCGUUUGGUUCGCUUGCCCUUAACGAUGUUGUUUCUGGUGACUUCCUCUUGAGCUUCCAUUGUUCCUACACCACUUGAAUAUGUGUAUGAGAGAGAGGAAGAGAGGGAGAGAAGAUAGGUG
rnacentral:misc_RNA from 1 species